CCUACGGGAGGCAGCAGUGGGGAAUUUUGGACAAUGGGGGCAACCCUGAUCCAGCCAUGCCGCGUGAGGGAAGAAGGUCUUCGGAUUGUAAAGCUCUUUCAGCCGGGAAGAAAGCGCACUCUCUAACAUAGGGUGUGGAUGACGGUACCGGAAGAAGAAGCACCGGCUAACUACGUGCCAGCAGCCGCGGUAAU
rnacentral:rRNA from 1 species